rnacentral:lncRNA from 1 species
UUGGAACUGCUAGUUACUUAGAUGUAUGCACUCUGUAUCAUGACCCUUCCUCUGUUUUCUCCAAACCAGAAAUGGCACGUGAGCAAAGGAUAUCAAGAAGCUUUUGGAUGUUGGGAAGCUUGGAGCUGAUGCUUCAAAUAAGCUGAUGGUUGUCUUUUGGAGAUGUUUCUAUGUUUAAUGCUUUAAAGUCUUUUGGCUGUACUGGACUAUUUAAACUUUGAACUAUGCUGUGAUGGUUGAACUGAUGCUGGACGGUUAAGGGUUUAUGUCAGAGGCAACUUUAUAACUAAUGUGUGCCUGUUAUGUUGGACUGUUAAGGGUUAUGUUGGAGGCAAUUUUAUAACUAAUGUGUGUCUGCUAUGUUGGAUUGUUAACUGUUAUGUUGGAGGCAACAUUAUAGCUAACGUGUGCCUGUUAUGUUGGGCAGAUUCAAUUUUCUUAAUCCCUAGAGCUUAUUUGCUAAAGUUUAUAAGAUCUCUCCUGAUGGUUGUUGUGCUGAUAUGUUUUGCUCUAUUUUAUUUAAAGUUUUGUUCAAAUUUCGGCCGAAUUUCGGCCAAAUUUCGGUUAAAUUUUGGCCAAAAUUUCAAAUUUUGAUUUUGCAAUUUCGUCCGAGAUUUUGCCGAAUUUUUUGAAAUUCCCGAAAUUCGGCCAUUUCGGCCAAGGACGAAAAAAAACAC